GACGAACGCUGGCGGCGUGCCUAAUACAUGCAAGUAGAACGCUGAAGGAGGAGCUUGCUCUUCUGGAUGAGUUGCGAACGGGUGAGUAACGCGUAGGUAACCUGCCUGGUAGCGGGGUAUAACUAUUGGAAACGAUAGCUAAUACCGCAUAACAGUAGAUGUUGCAUUACAUUUGCUUUAAAGGUGCAAUUGCCCCACUACCAUAUGGACCUGCGUUGUAUUAGCUAGUUGGUGGGGUAACGGCUCACCAAGGCGACGAUACAUAGCCGACCUGAGAGGGUGAGUGGCCAAACUGGGAAUGAGACACGGCCCAGACUUCUACGGGAGGCAGCAGUAGGGAAUAUUCGGAAAUGGACGGAAGUCUGACCGGGCAACGCCGCGUGGGGGAAGAAGGUUGUCGGAUCGUAAAGCUCUGUUGUAAGAGAAGAACGAGUGUGAGAGUGGAAAGUUCACACUGUGACGGUAUCUUACCAGAAAGGGACGGCUAACUACGUG
rnacentral:rRNA from 1 species